GAUCUAUUUCAGCUUGAGAUGAUUGUUUACAUGCGUAUCUAUUGUCUUUCUAUCUUUAAUUUUUUUUAUUUAUCUGUUACAAUACAAUAGGUGGAAGUAAGUGUAUAAUGUAUAUAAUUGUUUUCUCAUUUAUCUGUGAUGCACUAAUUCUUGUUUACAACACAAUAGAAGGUACAUAUACUAAAUCUAAUAAUAUCUAGUAUAUUUUCCUUUUUUAAAUUUUGUUUCUUUAUUUGAUACACAACUCUUAUUUACGACCCAAUAGAAAGUAAGUUACAGAUGAUUUUUACAUGUCUAUCAAUUUUUUCUAUCUUUAAUUUUAUUUACAAUACAAUAGAGAGUAAGUAGCUCUUAAUUUUGAAUGACUGUUUUCCUUUCAACUUUUAUUUAUUCAUUCGUCUAUACAAAUUCUUAUUUCUAAUGCAAUAGGAAGAAGUAAGUACUAUAACUUCAAACGAUUAUUUGUCUUUACUGUCAUUGAUUCAUCUUUGAUACACAACCUACUGUUUAAAACACAAUAUAUAGUUUGUAAGCACUAACCUAUGUCAAUUUUAAAUAAUUUCUAUUAUUGUCAUUUUUAUAUUUAUAUUUAUUUAUUUGUCUGUGAUACUACAAUAGAUAGUAAGUGCAUAUACAUGUGUACUAUGAUUGCUUAUACUUGUCUAAUUAACUUUAUGUAUUCACUUGUGAUACACAAACUCUUAUUAACAAUAGAAAGCAUUAGCCGAUGUAAGUGGUAU